GUAUGUCUCACUAGGUUGCUCUGUCUGGUCUGAACCCUGCCUAAAAAAAUGAUCCUCCGCCUCCGCCUCCGCCUCCUUAAGUCUUGGGAUUACAGGAGUGAGCCACAACACCCAGCCCAGCCAGUUCAUUCUUAAUAACUUUAAGACAUAAAAAUGGACCAUUUUGGGCCGGGCGCGGUGGCUCACGCCUGUAAUCCCAGCACUUUGGGAGGCCGAGUCGGGCGGAUCACGAGGUCAGGAGAUUGAGACCAUCCUGGCUAACACAGUGAAACCCCGUCUCUACUAAAAAUACAAAAAAAUUAUUCGGGUGCAGUGGCGGGCGCCUGUAGUCCCAGCUACACGGGAGGCUGAGGCAGGAGAAUGGCAUGAACCCGGGAGGCGGAGCUUGCAGUGAGCCGAGAUUGCGCCACAGCACUCCAGCCUGGGCGACAGAGCAAGACUCCGUCUCAAAAAAAACCAAAAGGACCAUUUUCGUGUACUGAAAUACGCAAUAAUUUCCACCAUCCGAAUACGGUGUGUAAUGACCUCCACGCGCCUAGUUACUAUCUACAUUCAUAGCUCAGCGAGCAGAGCCUGCCCUGAACGGACUCCUUUCCCACUGCAGACGAGUAGGGGGUUUUGCCCGUAAAGAAGGAACUAGUCUACGUGCGCCUGCAGUAGGCCCUGCGCCAUCCUUCAUUUCUCGGCUUCCUCCCACGCGCCUUCAUGCGGAUGUCAUCUGGAAGAGGCUCUGGGAGGGUCCAAGCAACAAACCACGCGGCGUUCUCUGGAGGCUGAGCUGGGAUGAGUGGGCGGAAGCAGCCUCAGGUCUGUCUCUUCUCUUCAGCCUGAAACUCACUGCAAAUACCAGAGGUUUUUUUUAGAGAUUAGAUAUAUUUG
rnacentral:lncRNA from 10 species